rnacentral:ncRNA from 2 species
UUUUACAUAAACUAUCCAGGUUUGUUCGCCCAUGGCGGACAAUUAAAAGGGAACCGUGUGAAAAUCACGGGCUGACGUGCAACUGUAAUCUAAGGGUUCGGGUGUCAGGUUUCAGGUAUUGGCGAUGCGCUAAUACCUCAUACCUCAUGCCUCAUACCCCGGAAAGCCAGACACCUGCCAAAAUAGUUUGUUCAAA